rnacentral:rRNA from 1 species
GACGAACGCUGGCGGCGUGCUUAACACAUGCAAGUCGAACGGAAAGGCCCUGCUUUUGUGGGGUGCUCGAGUGGCGAACGGGUGAGUAACACGUGAGUAACCUACCCUUGACUUUGGGAUAAAUUCAGGAAACUGGGGCUAAUACCGGAUAGGAGCUCCUGCUGCAUGGUGGGGGUUGGAAAGUUUCGGCGUUUGGGGAUGGACUCGCGGCUUAUCAGCUUGUUGGUGAGGUAGUGGGUUAACAAGGCUUUGACGGGUAGCCGGCCUGGGAGGGUGACCGGCCACAAUGGGACUGAGGUACGGCCCAGAGUGCUACGGGAGGCAGCAGUGGAGAAUAUUGCACGAUGGGCGGAAUCCUGAAGCAGCAACUCCGCGUGCUGGAUGACGGCCUUCGGGUUGGAAACCGCUUUCGCCUGUGACGAAGCGUGAGUGACGGUAAUGGGUAAAGAAGCACCGGCUAACUACGUG